rnacentral:rRNA from 1 species
AUUAUGGAGAGUUUGAUCCUGGCUCAGGACGAACGCUGGCGGCAUGCCUAAUACAUGCAAGUCGAGCGAAUGACGAAGAAGCUUGCUUCUUCUGAUUUAGCGGCGGACGGGUGAGUAACACGUGGGCAACCUGCCCUGUAGAUUGGGAUAACUCCGGGAAACCGGGGCUAAUACCGAAUAAUCCAUUUCCUCACAUGGGGA